rnacentral:rRNA from 2 species
UGGGGAAUAUUGGACAAUGGGCGCAAGCCUGAUCCAGCCAUGCCGCGUGUGUGAAGAAGGCCUUUUGGUUGUAAAGCACUUUAAGCGAGGAGGAGGCUACUUGGAUUAAUACUCUAGGAUAGUGGACGUUACUCGCAGAAUAAGCACCGGCUAACUCUGUGCCAGCAGCCGCGGUAAUACAGAGGGUGCGAGCGUUAAUCGGAUUUACUGGGCGUAAAGCGUGCGUAGGCGGCUUUUUAAGUCGGAUGUGAAAUCCCUGAGCUUAACUUAGGAAUUGCAUUCGAUACUGGAAGCUAGAGUAUGGGAGAGGAUGGUAGAAUUCCAGGUGUAGCGGUGAAAUGCGUAGAGAUCUGGAGGAAUACCGAUGGCGAAGGCAGCCAUCUGGCCUAAUACUGACGCUGAGGUACGAAAGCAUGGGGAGCAAACAGG